CAGACGUCCAUGUGCUGGAGCUGGGCAUGUACGAAAGCCACGUGGCGGCUCCAGGCUGCUGCUGUGGCACAGGUGUGCCUUGGCGUCGGUGAGGUGUGGCAUGGCUGUGCGGUGGCGCAGGUUUCCAUUUGCAUCUGGCUUUUGUGUGGCACUAGAAGAGAUCAGCUUUUUGCAAGCAUGGGGCUGAUGAACGCAUUUGCACAAAGGGAGACGGCGGAGUAGCAGGAGUUUGCAAGCUGCUUCAUUAACUUGGAGCCAGUGGAAUGUCUGGGAUCGUCUGUGAUUUGGAAACCGGUGGCAGAAUGUUCCCGCGUUUCUGGUCCUCAUCAGUCAGGGCUGGACAGAUGCAGCAUCCUGGGCUCAGCAUGGAGCCUCCUGGCUUCCCCAAACCACGCAUGGCUGAGCUUGCAGCCUUGUUCAGCUGACCCUGCCCUGCAGGCCCCUCUGAGCUCCACAGAGCGUUGACACCAGUCUGACUUCCAGGGGGAUGGGAAGGAAGCCCCUCUGCAGCUGCUUCCAGUUCUUCCUGAGGCCUGGCCUAGGCUGCCCCUGCUGCAGGGAGCUGUCUCCUCCGGUGCCACAGCAGUCACGGUGACCUUGCCUUCUCCUGCCGGUGCCCCCAAGCCCUCAGCUGUCUCUCCUCCGUCUUUCCUCUGUCCCCACAUCCUUUGUCUCCUGGGCUGGGCUGUUGCUGAGGCUGCUGUGAGAUGCACAGAUCCCCAGGACCCUUGGGCUGGCCCCCUCAGAGGCUUGAGGGCCUGGUGACCUGGGUCCCCUGAGCAGCUUCUGUCCUCCAGGUCACUCUGCUGUUUCAGCAUCCGCACAGCCCAGCCAACCCCCUAGGAUGCCGCCUUCCAAGGUCAUGGCCCUGGGUCAGGGCAGAGCAGGCAGAGGAGCCGUAUGGGCAGAGCAGAGGGGCUUCAUAGGUGCCCCUGUAUUGGGUGCCCUACUAAAGCAGAAACCAGUGCCAGCCUAGACAGCGAUGACCAGCAGCCUGUGACCUCUGGAGCCCGAGAUGUGUCCGGACAUAUCACGUCAGCCCAGGUGGCGCUGAGUGCUGGGAACCCAGCUAUGGUGGGUGAUGUCCAGACGGCUUCCCUUGGGUCAGCUGCAGCCCGGCUUCCUGUCGAGGGCAGGGAGGUACAGUGGCUACACACAGCCCUGAGGGAGGCUGAGGUAUUGCCACCUUCAAUAGCCAGAGCCGCAUCCCACACACGGGGCUGGACUCUCCCGGCUGUGGGGUGAGGCUGGGCCGCAUGGCCUAUGGCAAAUGCCCCUCAAACCCUAAUGCAUCCACGGUCAACCUGGUGAGUUCUGACUCAGCCUGGCCAGGUUCCCCUGGAGCUGGCCCCCUGAGCGCGUGUUGAGUUGGGGUGGAGGGGCUGGAGGGCCUUUCUCGAGCAGACCUUCAGAGAGGAGCGCUGGCCCUGUCUUUCCUGAUUCUGAACGUGUCCAAGGCGUUUCAUCACGUGAUGGAUUACCAGGCUGGUUGGUUCUACCGAAAGGCAGCAGCACAAGCUUUUCCUGGAUUUCUCACCAUUGUUCCUUUAAAUAAUCAGUCUUAAUUAACUCCAUCCGAAGAACAUAUUUUCCCCAAGGGUAGGGAGUCCCAGUCAGGUGGAGCAAGUUGGAACUGCAAACUGCAUUUGAUAGCUGUGGUGUUGGGAGGAGCCCCCUGGCUACUGCGAGGGGUGUCUCCGUGAUGGGCGGGCAGAUGGAUCAGCACCAACCCCUGCUGGCACUUUCUGACAUUUCUGUUGCCCUCAUUUGAUAGAUCGGGAAACUGAGUCACAGAAAGGUUUGGCAAUCUGCCCCAGGUCACUUCCCCUAAGCACAGACGUCCUUGUGGACGAGGAGAAGAGGCAGAACUCAGAGGGGAAAACCCUUCUUCCACACAGCAUCUGCUGUGGCCACCUGCCCCCACCUGCCCCUGUCCCCACCUCUCCCUGUCCCCAACCUGCCCCACCUGUCCCCGUCCCCACCCGCUCCUGUCCCCACCUUUCCCAUCUGCCCCUGUCCCCAUCCUGUCCCCAUCUGCCCCACCUGCCCCACCCAUCCCUGUGCCCAACCUGCCCCACCUGCCCCUGUCCCCACCUGUUCCUGUCCCUACCUGCCCCACUUGUCCCUGUCCUCACCUGCCCCACCUACCCCUGCCCCCACCUGCCCCUGUCCCUGCCUAUCCUUGUCCUGCCCACCUGUUCAUGUCCUCACCUGUUCCUGUCCCCCACCUGCCCCUGUCCUCACCUGCCCCAUCCCACCU